rnacentral:rRNA from 1 species
GAGGGGAAACGGCAUUAUGUGCUUGCACAUUUUGGACGUCGACCGGCGCACGGGUGAGUAUCGCGUAUCCAACCUUCCCUCCACUCGGGGAUACCCCGUUGAAAGACGGCCUAAUACCCGAUGUUGUCCACAUAUGGCAUCUGACGUGGACCAAAGAUUCAUCGGUGGAGGAUGGGGAUGCGUCUGAUUAGCUUGUUGGUGCGGGUAACGGCCCACCAAGGCUACGAUCAGUAGGGGUUCUGAGAGGAAGGUCCCCCACAUUGGAACUGAGACACGGUCCAAACUCCUACGGGAGGCAGCAGUGAGGAAUAUUGGUCAAUGGACGGAAGUCUGAACCAGCCAAGUAGCGUGCAGGAUUGACGGCCCUAUGGGUUGUAAACUGCUUUUGUUGGGGAGUAAAGUUGGGCACGCGUGCCUUUUAGCAUUACCCUCGAAUAAGGACCGGCA